CUGGACCUACGGGAGGCAGCAGUCGGGAAUAUUGCGCAAUGGAGGAAACUCUGACGCAGUGACGCCGCGUAUAGGAAGAAGGUUUUCGGAUUGUAAACUAUUGUCGUUAGGGAAGAUAAAAGACUGUACCUAAGGAGGAAGCCCCGGCUAACUAUGUGCCAGCAGCCGCGGUAAUACGUAGGGGGCAAGCGUUAUCCGGAUUUACUGGGUGUAAAGGGAGCGUAGACGGCCAUGCAAGUCUGAUGUGAAAACCCGGGGCUCAACCCCGGGACUGCAUUGGAAACUGUGCGGCUGGAGUGUCGGAG
rnacentral:rRNA from 1 species